GAGGCGAACCGGGGGAACUGAAACAUCUAAGUACCCCGAGGAAAAGAAAUCAACCGAGAUUCCGAAAGUAGCGGCGAGCGAAAUUGGACUAGCCCUUAAGCUUUACACGCGUUAGACGAACGGUCUGGAAAGUCCGACGAUACAGGGUGAUAGUCCCGUAGUUGACGACGUGUGUUCAGUGAAAUCGAGUAGGGCGGGACACGUGAUAUCCUGUCUGAAUAUGGGGGGACCAUCCUCCAAGGCUAAAUACUACUGACUGACCGAUAGUGAACCAGUACCGUGAGGGAAAGGCGAAAAGAACCCCUGUGAGGGG
rnacentral:rRNA from 1 species